rnacentral:rRNA from 1 species
AGAACUUAGCAGAGAUGCUUUGGUGCCUUCGGGAACUCUGAGACAGGUGCUGCAUGGCUGUCGUCAGCUCGUGUUGUGAAAUGUUGGGUUAAGUCCCGCAACGAGCGCAACCCUUAUCCUUUGUUGCCAGCGGCUCGGCCGGGAACUCAAAGGAGACUGCCGGCGAUAAACCGGAGGAAGGUGGGGAUGACGUCAAGUCAUCAUGGCCCUUACGGCCAGGGCUACACACGUGCUACAAUGGCGCAUACAAAGAGAAGCGACCUCGCGAGAGCAAGCGGACCUCAUAAAGUGCGUCGUAGUCCGGAUUGGAGUCUGCAACUCGACUCCAUGAAGUCGGAAUCGCUAGUAAUCGUAGAUCAGAAUGCUACGGUGAAUACGUUCCCGGGCCUUGUACACACCGCCCGUCACACCAUGGGAGUGGGUUGCAAAAGAAGUAGGUAGCUUAACCUUCGGGAGGGCGCUCACCACUUUGUGAUUCAUGACUGGGGUGAAGUCGUAACAAGGUAGGCGUAGCGAG